GAUAGAAGAGUUUAUGGUUCAUGAUUGGAGCAAAGCAUUCACUGAUGGGUGAAGUCAAUGAAGACACAUAGGCAGGUAAAUAUAGCUAUUUAUCACUUUUUUAGUGGAAUUUGUAAAAGGUUACCAACCAAAGCAGCAUUGAGGCAGAUACCAAUAUCGAUAUUUACAUUAGUUUAAAAAUCUGGUAACAAUGUAUCCGCCAAUAUUCUUUCCGUAACCUAAACACUUGUGUAAACAAACAAUAUAAGAAUAGGUUAAAUUUGGUUACUAAAGAAUUUUGGCCAAGAUAAGUACUGAUUGGGACACUUAAUUGUGAAAAAUGGAUUGAUGGACAAACUAUGUAAUGGUGACACUGUUUAUGAAUGACCUCAAAAUGAAAUGACAAAAAAUAAGAUAAGUUUGGCUAAGAUGGAGAAGUUGGUGUAUUGAUAAAAGCAAGGUGCGACAAAGUGCAAUGGAAACAGACUUAGCAAAUAAAUCAUGACGUACAUGAAGCAUGUGGCUUUAAAGUCCACUAAAGCGUCUGCGCCACUGAAGAGAUGAAAACAUCAGACCUGUGUGGAGCGAUGUAAUUAAUACACGAAACAAACCGAAACGUCAUAUUUCCAUCAUGUUUUCCAAAUGUUUUUUUUUUUAUUCGUUUGAGGUUGAACUGGAGCUCUUUCAAUUACAUCAUCUCGUUGGGUCCUCUUCUGCAAUGAUUUAAUGGCACACAACUGGAGAAUUAGCGCCACCAGCUGUUCAUGUCAAAGAACAAACUCCUAAUAUUCACAGUAGUGGAUGGAAACUAAUUAUCUAAUUAAUUAACUAAUUCAUUUGCAUUUUCUUUUGGAACAUUUUUCCAGAAUUUCUGGAAAUUCGGUUAAGAUCUGAGCUAGAUUUAGAUGGAAACCUGGCUAAAAUGUCUCUGAUUAUUGCAGAUUGUUAAGCCUUUCUUCAACUUGCAUAAUGUUGUCUUUACUAUCAACAGUCUUCACCAGCAUUGGAAACUUGUGGGAGAAAACGCAAGAAGCCAAAGCUGACCAAUCACAGUUCUUGUUGUCUCCACGUGGUAUCUCCGUAGUCUCCUUAGCUCUAACAUGUAGUUACAUUUUUGAGAAGGCACACGGCAGCUACGGCGUACCUACAGCAGCUUUGUGCAAGGGCUCGGUAACUAUACAUGUAGCUUAAGGGUUUGCAAGAUAAUUACCAUGGUAGAAAAUAAGAAAAACACUCAGAUCUGCUACAACAAAUUAUGUUUGUUUUUUUUAUUUUACUUUCUUUGCAUCUUUGCAUGCAAUUCUACUUUCUUCAUGUACGAUUUUAAUUAACAUCAAGCAGAUGAGUAGUCAUGAGACUGUGGGACGCCAUCUGUACUGACAAAAUACAGGACCACUUUACAUUCACAUGCUGCAGCUAUCACACCUUCCCUUUCGCAAGUAACACACAAACGUCCUGUGUUUUUCAUCCUUCUAGCCACAGUCUGGUGACUAAGCACUGCAGGAGAACUCAGACAUACAGAUAUCAACAACAAACUAGCUGACAGGUGGGCACAGAGCAGCUCAGAAUACAAGAAAAAGGCUUUGGUGCCAGAGCCCUUGCGACCGUGGCUGAGCCAGUUAGGAGUGGGAGAAGAAGCAGCAAGAGGAAAUGGAAGAGGACCAGUUUUGUGAAGUCUAUACAAACCGACUGUGGGCGACUGCCUAAACCAGUCUCAUUAGGGCUGACCCGAAUGCAGCUGGGGGGCAGCAGUGUGGGGGCUCAGCACACACUGAGCGGAGCAGAGGAGAGACAGGUGAACUACUGGAGUUGACGACAACUCGUUACGUUACAUAACGCUGAAAUUCAACCGUGGUGUUCUGUUGGGAGAUGCAGUGACAAACAAAUGGUGAGUGAGAAAAGUAUAAAUGAGUGUAAAUAAUAUGUAAUUUGUUAAGCUAUAAGUAGAGGAAAAGUCCACUAGCCGCUAAGGUAAUUUAUGUAGUGUAAGAUGCCAUAGGCUUAAGCUAAUAAUGAUGACUUGCAAGUUAUAGCAGUUAUAACACCCUGUCAUCUUGCUUGAGCUGAACCAAACAUGCCACAGCCUGGCUGAGAGUGAGUUUGGGCUUUUAGGGAGGGGCAAAAGACAAAACAAAAGCAUCACUGCGAAACGGAAUGCAGCACAAUAAUCAUUUUAUCUCGGUUAUCUUAUUUUCGUAAUCGUUGGAAGCCAAAAUCGUUAUUGAAAAUAAAAUUCGAUUAAUCGCCGAGCCUUAUCAGAGGGAUAAACGAGACAAACAACAACAGACAGAGUAGUUGUACCCAAACUUCCACGUUAAACAGCUUGUUGCCGUCCACUGUGUAAAAUAAAACGGUCUGUAUCGCUGCUGCCUAUUAAGACAGAAUCUUAAGAAAGAAACCUUUCAACUAACCCGUGUAUUUUACAUGUUCUACUUCUCUCCACAAAUAUUUCCAGAAACAGAUUUAAGUCAACAUAUAGAUACAAUAUUUCUGACCUAAAUUUGCAUUUGAACUUUUGCUUUUACUGAUAACCCAAUGUUCUUCAACAGAGAGAAAAGAAGAGAAAUGAAGAGAAAAGAAGUCUUUUAACUACACAUUUAUGCUAGGGCCAUCAGUUAUAGUUAAUAUUUCAUUUUUCUUUCUGGGAAAUUACAUCUUAAUAAGUCAUAAGUCUCCGCAGUGUUGGAAAUGCAGAAGACACCAGCGUAUCAGAAUGCUUACAAAUAGGAACAAUCCACCAUAUUUGCAGAUUUGAAUUUAACCGGAAUUCAAAAUCCAUCAUAGAAAGGACAAUUUCUGGGACAGGGGGUGUGGAGGAUGUAGAAGCGUGCUACAGUCUCUCUCUAUAGGAAUUAAAUUUUUCUAUAUAUUUUUUGGUACUUUUUUCACUAAUAACUGAUAUAUUUUUUGUAGUUUUACCUUAGAAAACAACCCCGUUUUUUGCCCUCUAUCACCAUAAAUGUCAUCUCCUCGAACUAAAUUGGAGUCCUCCGGGGCAGGCCACACUAAGCCUGGCAGGCACUUGAGCCUGACCCCCUGGAACCACAGGAUGUGGCUAUGCUGCGUAGCAUUAAGCAGAUGAUGGACGACCUGGCCAGUUGAAAUAGUUGAUAAUUUCAAUUUGGUAAUCUCAGAGACGGUUUGAAGAGAGAUAAUGACUGCGCUGGAGCCAUUUGAACAUAAACUUUCUUCACAUUGGGAGACUAUUAAAGAGCUGGAGGAGUCCGCUACCGACCACAACAACCAGCUAGCCACCGAGCCACUGUUAGCACACCAAGAAGUGUGAGGAUUUGGAGGGGUGCGCAAGGUGGAACAACAUUCACUUGGUGGGUCUGAGUCUUAAGUUGGGCCGGAGAGGCUUGCCCUCUGUCAUACAAGGGCAGGAGGAUAUGUAUUUUUCCAGAUUUUACACACUUUACACAGCACUUAAGUCCAGCAGCACAAGAACUGAACACAUGCCUGCGUCGGCAUUCAUUAAAAAGGUCAUUAAAAGUGACUUUGAGAAGGGCUGUCUCAGUGCUGUGGUACUGACGAAAACCAGAUUGGAACUUUUCAAAAGGUUUUAUUAUUUUCCACUGCAGCAAGAAGCUGCUUAGAAACAAUUUUUGAGAACCUUGGCAGUUUGGAGAUCGGGCGACAGUGAUCCAGGAGGGUGGGAUCAAGCCCAGGUUUCUUAGGACUGGCUGGACACAGCGAACUGUUCAAAAUAGGUAGCAAAUAAAAAUAUAGUUGGGAUUAUAUCCAGAGGGCUGGAGGAUACUCUCAUAAGAGACGUGAUGUCUGCGAGUUCAGGCAGAGUAACAGCAGAAAAAUUGCUCAAAAA